rnacentral:rRNA from 1 species
AUACGGAGGGUGCAAGCGUUACUCGGAAUCACUGGGCGUAAAGCGCGCGCAGGCGGUCUUUUAAGUUGGAUGUGAAAGCCUACGGCUCAACCGUAGAACUGCAUCCAAAACUGUCAAGCUAGAGUGUGGGAGAGGAAGAUGGAAUUAGUUGUGUAGGGGUAAAAUCCGUAGAGAUAACUAGGAAUACCAAAAGCGAAGGCAAUCUUCUGGAACACUACUGACGCUGAGGCGCGAAAGCGUGGGGAGCAAACAGGAUUAGAAACCCCAGUAGUCC